UGCAGUCGAGCGGAACGACACCAUAUCAGAUAUCUUCGGGGGCAUGUUGUUGGGCGUCGAGCGGCGGACGGGUGAGUAAUGCCUAGGAAAUUGCCUUGAUGUGGGGGAUAACCAUUGGAAACGAUGGCUAAUACCGCAUAAUGCCUACGGGCCAAAGAGGGGGAUCUUCGGACCUCUCGCGUCAAGAUAUGCCUAGGUGGGAUUAGCUAGUUGGUGAGGUAAUGGCUCACCAAGGCGACGAUCCCUAGCUGGUCUGAGAGGAUGAUCAGCCACACUGGAACUGAGACACGGUCCAGACUCCUACGGGAGGCAGCAGUGGGGAAUAUUGCACAAUGGGCGAAAGCCUGAUGCAGCCAUGCCGCGUGUAUGAAGAAGGCCUUCGGGUUGUAAAGUACUUUCAGUUGUGAGGAAGGGGGUGUAGUUAAUAGCUGCGUAUCUUGACGUUAGCAACAGAAGAAGCACCGGCUAACUCCGUGCCAGCAGCCGCGGUAAUACGGAGGGUGCGAGCGUUAAUCGGAAUUACUGGGCGUAAAGCGCAUGCAGGUGGUUCAUUAAGUCAGAUGUGAAAGCCCGGGGCUCAACCUCGGAACUGCAUUUGAAACUGGUGAACUAGAGUGCUGUAGAGGGGGGUAGAAUUUCAGGUGUAGCGGUGAAAUGCGUAGAGAUCUGAAGGAAUACCAGUGGCGAAGGCGGCCCCCUGGACAGACACUGACACUC
rnacentral:rRNA from 1 species